UAGUGAGGGAUCACCAUAUCUAACUAACUAAGUUGUAGGUGAUUGUUACUUACACAGUAACUAACUAAACUGAAUUAUAACUAACAAAACCCAAAAUAACUAACUUCUAACUUCCUCAUUGUGUAAUACUUCUCUUCAAUACAAAACUCAACCCAUCUCUCUCUUCUCCGAUUGACUCUUUCAUAUCUCAUUUCAUUGCAUCUUCUUCUCCGUUCAAUCACAAUGGCAUUGAGAAGUGUUGUUGACAACUCAUUUUCACCUGCAAAUCUUGAAACCCCCGAUGACAACUCCACGCCACUGGGAUUUGUGCUUUCUCUCACCAUCCCUGUAGUGUUGAUCGGUGCUGUAAUAGGUUACUGGGUGGCCUACCCGCGUUUUAUGAACUGGCGGCGUAAACGACAGACUGCUGUCAACGUCGUUCCUGUUAACAUCCAGAUGCAGUAGAAGGAUCAUAAAGUUUUUGAUGGACGUGGCUGGUUGAAGAAGGAAUCAAGGUGGAAAUAAGAAAGAUGUUAGUUACGUUAUAGUUUUAGGUUUGAAUUUGGAUUGUAAAGAUCUCUAUUAUGUUUGAAUAUUUCAGCAACUUUACUUCAUCUUCUUGAGUUUUUCAUUCACUGCUA